CCUCUCUGAAGAUUGCCCUACUUCUUGCUCACAGUAUGAGAGUAGGAAACACUGUUCAUGUAUAAAAAUAACAAGAGCCUAAAAUAGCUACUGCAGUUGAAGAGGAAGGGCAUAAGAUGCCACAUGCCUUUGUCUUACUUGCUAUAUGCUCCUGUUGUAGUCAUAAUGCCCCAGAGUCAUCUUUGCCACCACUGCUGCGGUAACAGUUUGAGGUGGUACCUUCAUUUCCAGCACGUGUGCUUCAGACGAACUAUGAAUAUGACAAUGCCACUUCCCCAAAUCGAAUUCUGCCACAGCUGA
rnacentral:lncRNA from 1 species